GGGGGUGAUCGGUUUCGACUCCGUACGUUGAUCCAGGGGAAGCGUGCUGGUGCAGGCAGGAGACCACCACAAGCGUCACUGCACACAUAUAAGCGCCGACUCCAGUCAGCGCGAGUUCGCCCUCGCCGCCUGAGCGAGUAGCGACUCUGUCAGACCGGGUGUGCCCUCGCCCCGGACCCUGGCAUCGACUAGAGGGCUCUUACCCAGCGGGUCGGCCGCGGACCCGCUGGGGACACCAAACAGCGGCUGGGACCGUCAUCCUGACUCGUCGGUGUGAUCGGGAGGUCCGAGCAGAGACGUAGCCGACUGCGCACGGAGAAGCCCUGGUGAGCCGGCGGAGGACCCGGGUUCGAUUCCCGGCACCUCCACCC
rnacentral:tmRNA from 1 species